GGGGGGGGGUUGUCAAUGGUGACGGUGGUGCUUGGCCGAUGAGGAAUGGCAGUGAAGUGCCACAGCCGACGACUCUAGGCCGACCGGUGACGGCGGCAGUGGAGGUGUGUAUAGUUUGGUUCGAGUUUCUGGAUUUCCGGUUUAGUUUUUGGCGAUGCGGUGACUUGAGACUUGGUUGGGUUCAAAAGGUUCAAGUCGGUCAAUAAAGUCAAACCAGUCAACACGUCAGGUUGACUGGUCAACGCUGGUCAACGGGGGCUUCGGGUUCAGUUAUGUCAGAUUUGAUUCAAGUUAGAUGAGUGCUCGGGUCAGAUUCGGUCAAUGGUUCGGUUCGGGUCAAGUGGGUUGGUCGGCCUCAGCUUUGGUUCCGGUUGACUCGGUCAAACUCGGGUCAACAGCGGGUCAACUCAGUGAAACGGGUCAGCCGGUCAACAACAUUAAAUGAUUAUGGUUUGGGUUUGAUUCAGAGGACGUUCAGGUCACGGUUCUGAUUUCGGGUUGGUUUGACUCGGUCAAACCGAGUCAACUCAGUCAACAAGCAGUCGACACACGACCCGGAAUGUCAUAGUUGCACGCUUGCUAAAUACACGUUCUUGGAACGACACUACGGAAUCACGCUAGGCUAGCAUUGCACAUGAAUGUCAAGGUUGCAUUUUCAAAACUAUGGAACGG